rnacentral:rRNA from 1 species
UUUUUCAUGAUUGGGGGCCGGGAACCACCUGAUCCCAUCCCGAACUCAGAAGUGAAACCAGCCUGCGCCGAUGGUACUUUGUCUUAAGGCACGGGAGAGUAGGUCACUGCCGGGC